UACGGGGGGGCAAGCGUUGUUCGGAAUUACUGGGCGUAAAGGGUGCGCAGGCGCCGUGUGUGUCAGGUGUGAAAGCCCGGAGCUUAACUCCGGAAUUGCGCCUGAAACUACAUGGCUAGAGCAUUAGAGAGGGUAGCGGAAUUCCUGGUGUAGCGGUGAAAUGCGCAGAUAUCAGGAGGAACACCAGCGGCGAAGGCGGCGCUCUGGGCCGGUACUGACACUGAGGAGCGAAAGCCGUGGGUAGCAAACAGG
rnacentral:rRNA from 1 species